rnacentral:rRNA from 1 species
CCUACGGGAGGCAGCAGUGGGGAAUAUUGCACAAUGGGGGAAACCCUGAUGCAGCGACGCCGCGUGAGUGAAUAAGUAUCUCGGUACGUAAAGCUCCAUCAGCCGGGGAGCAAAUGACGGUACCUGACUCAGAAGCCCCGGCUAACUACGUGCCAGCAGCCGCGGUAAUCCGGAGGGGGCAAGCGUUAUCCGGAUUUACUGGGUGUAAAGGGAGCGUAGACGGGAGCACAAGGCUGGAGUGAAAUCCCGGGGCUUAACCCCGGAACUGCUUUGGAAACUGUGCGGCUGGAGUGCAGGAGGGGUAAGCGGAAUUCGUGGUGUAGCGGUGAAAUGCGUAGAUAUUAGGAGGAACACCGAUGGCGAAGGCGGCUUACUGGACUGUAACUGACGUUGAGGCUCGAAAGCGUGGGGAGCAAACAGGAUUAGAUACCCCAGUAGUC